CACAAAGCACGCGUCUAAAUAAACGCGUGCUUUUUUGAGACGUGUCUAUCAAACCACACGAAAUUAACGCCUGGUUUUGACUCAAUCAGCGUCUGGUUUUCCAAAAUUAAAGUCUGCUUGCUUGAAUCUCCGAUGGGAAAUUACGGCAACAAUUGUAACACAUCAUCUAUGAUGUCCCAAAGGCCCAACUCCUUCUCAGGUCACCUUCUGGCAGCAACCAUGCAGCUGGAUUUCAUUGUGCAACCUGGCCUACCCAAGCUGCUGCUGGGCCCAGGGUUGAUUGUAAUGGCACACUGGGACUUGCAGAUGACCUGAAAUACAUAUUUGUCUUUAUGCUGUGUAAGAUGUAGGCCUACUGCUUUUAACUUGAGUUGAACGCUGUUAAACACUGCCAUGGUCAGCAAACACUAGCCAUUGCUCUACUUCAGAAAGGAUACUGUUCACUGCUGUAUGAGUCAAUAGGACAUUACCUGAAUGACUUGUAGUGAUCGGGAGGUUAUGCCUGUGCUGAUGAUGGUAUAAACCAUGUUAGAUUCUUGGCUCUGUGCAUUGUUUGGGUCUCCUCUCUGUGUUCUGCUUCUGUGUCUUUGGUUCUGUUGCAGGAUGGCAGGCAGGUAGAGGAGCUGUGAUUGCUGCAAGGGCACACCUGUGACCUGUGCCUUGGUCCUUAAUAAGCUGUGCCCUAACAAGCUGGGUCUCCCCAUUACUAGCAGGAACAUCAAAUCUAAUCUUCCUAUGAACCCAGUUAACACAAAAUAUUGUACACUGCUAAUCAUCAGCUAACUAAAUGUGUGUGGUGGCGUAGGACCCAAACGCAGGAGAGUAGCCAGACAUUGCCUCAAACAAAGGGUUUAUUCUUUUAAUUGGGAAACAGACAGGGUCAGUAGCGGUCCUAGUACAUAUGGCGCCCUAGGCAAGAUUUAUCAACAGCACCCCCUCUUCAUGCUGCCCUAGGCGGCUGCCUAUGUCGCCUAUAGGAAGGACCGGCACUGGACAGGGUACUCACGUUAACAAGGGUAAGGACAAGACAAAGACUGGACACAAAACAGGAACCUAAAAUACACAGAACCAAACAAGACACAGGUGGACAUGAUAAUACAAAAAAGAACUGAAACCACUGAAUGAGACACAGGUGAAGACAAUGGCAGACACGGACACAGUAGGGCAGGGCAAAACCAAAAACGGGGUCACGUUUGUGGCUGUGACAUUAUGCCUGCCCAAAGGUGGGUGACUGUAUUAUCCUAGACUCCAUGUACUGUUUGAACUGUACAUGGGUUGUGUGUAUGGGCAGUCUCAGGGUUAUGUCACAGGUAUUGGCCUCUGGGCACACCCUUGGUGCUGGGGGAGGACCAGGGGGACAGGGAGCUGCUGGUGCUGGGGGAGGACC